rfam:Heligmosomoides polygyrus genome assembly, scaffold: HPBE_scaffold0008781
GCGCCGGUGGUGUAAUGGCGUAGAGCAUUCCCGCCCGCUCAGAGGGAGGUGCGGGUUCGAGUCCCGCCUGGCGCU